ACAUCAACCCCAUCAGAUGGUGCUCCCCUGACAGGGAGCUAAGAGGGAAGCCGGUGUAAAUCCGGCGCUGUACCCGCAACUGUUAGCCGGGAGCUGAUGGCCACUAUGCCACUGGAACGCGAGUUCUGGGAAGGCGGCCAAAGGCGACGAUCGGUGAGCCAGGAGACCUGCCAUCGCGUCGUUUGUCCG
rnacentral:ncRNA from 2 species